ACCUCGGUAGUGCAAUCGGUAACACAUCAGACCGGACAUCUGUAGAUGCGUGUUCGAGUCCCACCAGAGGUU
rnacentral:tRNA from 1 species